UCGCAGAAACAGAACAAGUUCAGCUUCCUACAGAAGUUGUGGUGGACGGGAAAUCUGCCUCUUCAAAAGAAGAGGUAGAAAGCACGAGGGAGGACGGGGAGCUUCCAUCUUUAGUUCCUGUCACUUCUAUAAAUGAUACUAAUGUCACUCCAAAUAAAAAAAUCAAUUUUGAUCCCUCCACAAAGCUGGCUUUCAUUUCAAAGAGUGCCAGCUCUCCAAUUAUAAAGGGGAAGUCACCAAGUUUUAAGAAAUACGGAGAUGAUGCAGAUCUUAUUCUGGAAUCCGGGGAACUUCCAUCUUUAGUUCCUGUCACUUCUAUAAAUGAUUCUAAUGUCACUCCAAAUAAAAGAAUCAAUUUUGAUCCGUCCGCUAAGCUGGCUUUCAUUUCAAAGAGUGCCAGCUCUCCAAUUAUGAAGGGGAAGUCACCAAGUUUUAAGAAAU
rnacentral:lncRNA from 1 species